AGCCCAAUGGAAUGGGCCUUGCAGAAAAACCCUAGCUGGCCCGCUCCGUUUGACUCUGUCUAUAAGAAUCCCGAAACUGAUAUUACUACUCCUUCCGCCGAGCUUAGUAGAAGAGAAAAGGAGGAGCAGGAGGCAUCACCGUUACCAAACAUGGUGAAAGGGCGCCAAGGAGAGCGUGUUAGACUUUACGUCAGGGGUUCAAUACUUGGAUACAAGAGGUCCAAGUCAAAUCAAUACCCAAACACCUCAUUAAUCCAGAUUGAGAAUGUAAACACUAAGGAAGAAGUUGCGUGGUACUGUGGGAAGCGUAUGGCUUACAUUUACAAAGCCAAGGUAAAGAAGGACGGAAGCCACUAUCGCUGCAUUUGGGGUAAGGUCACCAGGCCUCAUGGUAACAGUGGUAUAGUUCGUGCUAAGUUCAAGUCCAAUCUGCCGCCCAGAUCAAUGGGAGCAAGGGUUAGAGUCUUCAUGUAUCCAAGCAAUAUAUGAGUGAUAUGAAUGGAAUAAUCAAUGAAAAUAAAAGUAUUAUACUUCAGUUAUGAUGGGGCCGUGGUAGAAAGUGAUGAAUAAUGCAGGUUCUCAGGACUCGUGAGUCGUGGAGCUUGUUUUGUCAGGGUAUUUGAUAGGAAUUUAUAUUAUGUUUUUCUUUUUUGGUAGCUCUCGAGCAGGGUAGUAUCCUUGUUUAGGAUGAAGAGAAUGUACCGCAUGUUUUUUCUUUAUUCUCACUGCCAUGGUUAUUAGGGAGGAUUAUGAGUCUCAAUUUCAUUAACGGAUUUUUUUUCCUUA